rnacentral:piRNA from 3 species
AUGGUUAGCACUCUGGACUCUGA